GAUGAACGCUGGCGGCGUGCCUAAUACAUGCAAGUCGAGCGAACAGACGAGGAGCUUGCUCCUCUGACGUUAGCGGCGGACGGGUGAGUAACACGUGGAUAACCUACCUAUAAGACUGGGAUAACUUCGGGAAACCGGAGCUAAUACCGGAUAAUAUAUUGAACCGCAUGGUUCAAUAGUGAAAUACGGUUUUGCUGUCACUUCUAGCUGGAUCCGCGCCGGAUUAGCUAGUUGGUAAGUUAACGGCUUAUCAAGGCGACGAGGCGUAGCCGACCUGAGAGGGUGAUCGGCCACACUGGAACUGAGACACGGUCCAGACUCCUACGGGAGGCAGCAGUAGGGAAUCUUCCGCAAUGGGCGAAAGCCUGACGGAGCGACGCCGCGUGAGUGAUGAAGGUCUUCGGAUCGUAAAACUCCGUUAUUAGGGAAGAACAAAUGUGUAAGUAACUAUGCACGUCUUGACGGUACCUAAUCAGAAAGCCACGGCUAACUACGUG
rnacentral:rRNA from 1 species